UUGGCUUUACUAGGAAAGAACAUAGUGCUAUCUUUACCUUAAAUUAGCUAAAUCCAUACAUCCAAUAAAAAUAAUCACUAUAGGAGAGCUUAUCAUUGACCGCACUGCUGCAGCACCUUUUUAUCCCUGCUUGCCAUUCUCUGCUCUUUUUCAUGAUUUCUGCAGAAGCAGUCGACCCCUUUUGUCCUUACUUGAAGGUUUACCUAAAGCUACAUUUUGCUCUCCUGCAUCUUUGUCUUCUUCUUCUUCUUCUUCUUUUUUUUUUUUUUUGCAGCUGAUUAUCUAGACAGUGGCCUUGAUAUACACUCAGCAAGAACAGCACCACCAUCUCUCAGCCAGGCUAUAGCACAGCGAUUCUGAGAGAAAACUUCUAUUGUGUAAGUUCAUAGGUUCAUUUAAAUGAGAAGAUGCAGUGGAUGAAGAUAAGGCGUGCUAAAACAUACGCACCAAGGCUGAGGGACACAGACAAGCACUGGAUAAGAAACUGUGCUUCCUGAGAAGGCUUGUUCAUCAUGUGUAAGGAUGUGAACUCAAGGAAUGAAGCUAUGACAUUUGGAGUCUGUGUGGGUGACAACAGGGAAUGAGAAGUCUGGCUUCCUGGAGAUACUGAGUCUGAACAUGCACACAGAGGAUGAAAAGUGAGAUGAUCAGACCUGAGCCCCACAUAGGAAGUUGCCAAAUAAAUAUUCUGUGGUGGUAAGUGUCUCACACACUCUUCGAUGGGUGCAGUAUUAUCAUAGAAUCACAGAAUCACAGAAUCGUUUAGGUUGGAAGGGACCU